rnacentral:rRNA from 1 species
UACGUAGGGGGCGAGCGUUGUCCGGAAUUAUUGGGCGUAAAGAGCGUGUAGGCGGUUCGGUAAGUCUGCCGUGAAAACCUGGGGCUCAACCCCGGGCGUGCGGUGGAUACUGCCGGGCUAGAGGGUGGUAGAGGCGAGUGGAAUUCCCGGUGUAGCGGUGAAAUGCGCAGAUAUCGGGAGGAACACCGGUGGCGAAGGCGGCAUCCUGGACCGGUAUUGACGCUGAGGAGCGAAAGCCAGGGGAGCAAACGGG